rnacentral:rRNA from 1 species
AUUGAACGCUGGCGGCAGGCUUAACACAUGUAAGUCGAGCGGUAACAGGAGAAAGCUUGCCUUCUUGCUGACGAGCGGCGGACGGGUGAGUAAUGCCUGGGAAAUUGCCCUGAUGUGGGGGAUAACCAUUGGAAACGAUGGCUAAUACCGCAUAGUAGCUUCGGCUUAAAGAGGGGGACCUUCGGGCCUCUCGCGUCAGGAUAUGCCCAGGUGGGAUUAGCUAGUUGGUGGGGUAAGGGCUCACCAAGGCGACGAUCUCUAGCUGGUCUGAGAGGAUGAUCAGCCACACUGGAACUGAGACACGGUCCAGACUCCUACGGGAGGCAGCAGUGGGGAAUAUUGCACAAUGGGCGCAAGCCUGAUGCAGCCAUGCCGCGUGUAUGAAGAAGGNCUUCGGGUUGUAAAGUACUUUCAGUGGUGAGGAAGGUAGUGUGUUUAAUAGGCACAUUGCUUGACGUUAGCCACAGAAGAAGCACCGGCUAACUCCGUGCCAGCAGCCGCGGUAAUACGGAGGGUGCGAGCGUUAAUCGGAAUUACUGGGCGU